rnacentral:rRNA from 2 species
AUAGGGCGGCACCUUGACGGUACCUAACCAGAAAGCCACGGCUAACUACGUGCCAGCAGCCGCGGUAAUACGUAGGUGGCAAGCGUUGUCCGGAAUUAUUGGGCGUAAAGGGCUCGCAGGCGGUUUCUUAAGUCUGAUGUGAAAGCCCCCGGCUCAACCGGGGAGGGUCAUUGGAAACUGGGGAACUUGAGUGCAGAAGAGGAGAGUGGAAUUCCACGUGUAGCGGUGAAAUGCGUAGAGAUGUGGAGGAACACCAGUGGCGAAGGCGACUCUCUGGUCUGUAACUGACGCUGAGGAGCGAAAGCGUGGGGAGCGAACAGGAUUAGAUACCCUGGUAGUCCACGCCGUAAACGAUGAGUGCUAAGUGUUAGGGGGUUUCCGCCCCUUAGUGCUGCAGCUAACGCAUUAAGCACUCCGCCUGGGGAGUACGGUCGCAAGACUGAAACUCAAAGGAAUUGACGGGGGCCCGCACAAGCGGUGGAGCAUGUGGUUUAAUUCGAAGCAACGCGAAGAACCUUACCAGGUCUUGACAUCCUCUGACAAUCCUAGAGAUAGGACGUCCCCUUCGGGGGCAGAGUGACAGGUGGUGCAUGGUUGUCGUCAGCUCGUGUCGUGAGAUGUUGGGUUAAGUCCCGCAACGAGCGCAACCCUUGAUCUUAGUUGCCAGCAUUCAGUUGGGCACUCUAAGGUGACUGCCGGUGACAAACCGGAGGAAGGUGGGGAUGACGUCAAAUCAUCAUGCCCCUUAUGACCUGGGCUACACACGUGCUACAAUGGACAGAACAAAGGGCAGCGAAA